rnacentral:lncRNA from 1 species
GACGAGUUCUUCAAAUUCUAGGGUUUUCCGACUUUCGGACCUAGAGUUUUGGUGUUAUCCGAUGACUUUUUCUUCGCUUGAUGGACGUUUUGGGUGAUUUUCCGGCGUCUAUGACCUUACUCCGGUGAGUUUCAGAACCUAGGGUUUCCGGUGUUGGACCUAGGGUUUUCUUUGUUGAUUGAAGGUCGAUUAUCUUCGGUCGCGAAGAAGGAGGGUAACUCUGUCCUUAUUUU